GAAGUCCUGUGUGAAGUUCACCGGGGGAGACAGAGGAAAUAACGGUGCAGCCGGGGGCUAUCUGAGUCUCUCCUGCAAAGACUCUGGAUUCACCUUCACUGAUUGCAGCAUAAGCUUGGUCCAGCAAGCUCCAGGACCAGGGUUGAUGUGGGCAGCAACAGGGAGAAAUUGAAGAGGAAGCUCUCAGUGGUGCCCUCCAUGAAUACAAAGAAUCUUCACAGUCCCCAGGACACCCUUACGU
rnacentral:lncRNA from 1 species